rfam:Oblitimonas alkaliphila strain E5571 chromosome.
AAACGUUCUCAGGGCGGGGUGUAAGUCCCCACCGGCGGUAAAGUCUUAGACUCAGCCCGCGAGCGCUUGCUUCCCCAGCAAGGUCAGCAGAUUUGGUGAAAAGCCAAAGCCGACGGUUAUAGUCCGGAUGAGAGAGAGCGGGA